CACUUCUCAGAUUAGUGGCGAACGGGUGAGUAACGCGUGGGUAAUCUGCCCAUAAGAGGGGGACAACAGUUGGAAACGACUGCUAAUACCGCAUAAGCUGCGCAAGCAGUAAAGGAGGCCUCUUGAUAAAGCUUCCGCUUAUGGAUGAGCCCGCGUCUGAUUAGCUAGUUGGUGGGGUAAAAGCCUACCAAGGCGAUGAUCAGUAGCCGGCCUGAGAGGGUGAACGGCCACACUGGGACUGAGACACGGCCCAGACUCCUACGGGAGGCAGCAGUGGGGAAUAUUGCGCAAUGGGGGAAACCCUGACGGAGCGACGCCGCGUGAACGAUGAAGGCCGUGAGGUUGUAAAGUUCUUUUCUGGGGGAGGAAUAAUGAUGGCAGGGAAUGGUCAUCAGAUGACGUUAACCCAGGAAUAAGCCCCGGCUAACUACGUGCCAGCAGCCGCGGUAACACGUAGGGGGCGAGCGUUGUUCGGAAUUAUUGGGCGUAAAGGGUGCGCAGGCUGCAUAGGUAGUCUGAUGUAAAAUGUCUCGGCUUAACCGAGGCCUGCCAUUGGAAACUGCUAUGCUAGAGUACAGGAGGGGGAGUUGGAAUUCCAGGUGUAGGGGUGAAAUCUGUAGAUAUCUGGAGGAACAUCGGUGGCGAAGGCGAACUUCUGGCCAUGUACUGACGCUGAGGCACGAAGGCGUGGGGAGCAAACAGGUUUAGAUACCCUGGUAGUCCACGCAGUAAACGAUGUACACUAGGUGGUGGGAGUUACUCUCAGUACCGAAGCUAACGCAUUAAGUGUACCGCCUGGGGAGUAUGCUCGCAAGGGUGAAACUCAAAGGAAUUGACGGGGGCCCGCACAAGCGGUGGAGCAUGUGGUUUAAUUCGAUGAUACGCGAGGAACCUUACCAGGGUUUGACAUACGAUGGAUGGGAGAGAGAUUUUCCAGCCUUUCGGGGUCGUCGUACAGGUGCUGCAUGGCUGUCGUCAGCUCGUGCUGUGAAGUGUUGGGUUAAGUCCCGCAACGAGCGCAACCCCCGCUAUCUGUUGCCAUCAAGUAAUGUUGGGGACUCAGAUGGAACUGCCGGUGACAAACCGGAGGAAGGUGGGGAGGACGUCAAGUCAUCAUGGCCCUUAUAUCCAGGGCUACACACGUGCUACAAUGGCCGGCACAGAGCGAUGCAACACCGCGAGGUUAUAGCAAAGCGCAAAAAACCGGCCGUAGUUCGGAUUGAAGUCUGAAACUCGACUUCAUGAAGGUGGAAUCGCUAGUAAUCGCGCAUCAGCACGGCGCGGUGAAUAAGUUCCCGGGCCUUGUACACACCGCCCGUCA
rnacentral:rRNA from 1 species